AAUAUGCCAACUGCAAGUGCCUAAUGAAUUUGGAAUUCAAUUACCAAAAUUGUUGCUAGCAUAAAACAUGGUUUCAAAGUCAGAAUUAGGAAAGGUGAAGGGGCUUCUUUAGGUAUGACAGGUGUUUAGGAGAUGAAUGUUUAUGUAGUUCAGUUUCUUGUGUGCACAUAUAUAGAUGCGAAUCGAGGAUUUUUACUACAGUGGGCAAUGGCACUUUGAAAAACUUUCCACAUAAAUUCCAUGAGAUAUCCAACUGAGAAUAAAACCAUCUUUGUUAUGUGGUUAUUUGGAGACCAUCAUAUCCUGGUUUGUAUUAGUGGCUUGGCUUGUUCAUACAUCAAAUGCUCAACUUCCCUUGUCAUUUGCAGGGUUUCGGAAUCAGAUUGUCAAGCAGCAUUGAAUCUAGUGAGACAGAAGUUGGAAGAAUUUAAAGUCGUGAUUAGUUGCGGAUCUACGUUGACUCCGGGUCUUGAAUCUGUUACCGACGGGGUGAUCUCUUCUCUCUUCCCAACACCAAAAUAAUUUUAUAUCUCUUUUAUUUCUUGAUGGACUUUAAGCUUUAAGCUUCUACAAGAAGGAGACGAAUGUGAAGAUUGGUUGGCUAAUUAAUCAUGGAAUUUCCUCGGACUAAGAGUCUAAGACUGUAUUGAGGACAAGUUUUCGUUCUCGGAUCAGUUGUCCCUUGUUAAUUAGCCGAUGCUUUUGGUGUAGCAGCCUAAACAUUAGUAGUUAUUUUAUUGCUUUCUGAAUAUAUAAAAAA